GACGAACGCUGGCGGCGUGCCUAAUACAUGCAAGUCGAGCGAGCGGAACUAACAGAUUUACUUCGGUAAUGACGUUAGGAAAGCGAGCGGCGGAUGGGUGAGUAACACGUGGGGAACCUGCCCCAUAGUCUGGGAUACCACUUGGAAACAGGUGCUAAUACCGGAUAAGAAAGCAGAUCGCAUGAUCAGCUUUUAAAAGGCGGCGUAAGCUGUCGCUAUGGGAUGGCCCCGCGGUGCAUUAGCUAGUUGGUAAGGUAAAGGCUUACCAAGGCGAUGAUGCAUAGCCGAGUCGAGAGACUGAUCGGCCACAUUGGGACUGAGACACGGCCCAAACUCCUACGGGAGGCAGCAGUAGGGAAUCUUCCACAAUGGACGCAAGUCUGAUGGAGCAACGCCGCGUGAGUGAAGAAGGUUUUCGGAUCGUAAAGCUCUGUUGUUGGUGAAGAAGGAUAGAGGUAGUAACUGGCCUUUACUUGACGGUAAUCAACCAGAAAGUCACGGCUAACUACGUG
rnacentral:rRNA from 1 species